rnacentral:tRNA from 1 species
AUUAAUUUGGCAGAUUAGUGCAAUAAGUUUAGGAUUUAUUUAUAUUGUUUAAAACAAUAAUUAAUA